rnacentral:rRNA from 1 species
GAUGAACGCUGGCGGCGUGCCUAACACAUGCAAGUCGAGCGUGAACCCUGCGAAUGAACUUCGGUUCGAUUUUGCAGGGGGAAAGCGGCGGACGGGUGAGUAACGCGUAGGUAACCCUGCCCCAUACUGAGGGAUAGCCUCGGGAAACCGGGAUUAAUACCUCAUAACACCGUAUAUUCGCAUGGAUGUGCGGUCAAAGAUUUAUCGGUAUGGGAUGGGCCUGCGUCUGAUUAGCUGGUUGGUGGGGUAACGGCCUACCAAGGCGACGAUCAGUAGCCGACCUGAGAGGGUGAUCGGCCACAUUGGAACUGAGACACGGUCCAAACUCCUACGGGAGGCAGCAGUGGGGAAUAUUGCACAAUGGGCGAAAGCCUGAUGCAGCAACGCCGCGUGAGCGAAGAAGGCCUUUGGGUCGUAAAGCUCUGUCGGGUAGGAAGAUAAUGACGGUACUACCCGAGGAAGCCCCGGCUAACUACGUG